rnacentral:rRNA from 1 species
UAUAGGUUAUUUGAAAGUAUUCUCCUACUUGGCUAACCGGAGUAAUUUUAGAGUUAAUACAUGCGUAAAGUCCCGACUUAUAAAAAGAAUGUCUUUAUUAGAUUGAAACCCAUUGGGCCACCGUUUUGUGGUGAGUCAUAAUAACUUAUCGGAUUGCAGUAGCCUCUCGGCGGCGAAGAAUCCUUCAAGUUUUUGCCCUAUCAGCUUUUGAUGGUAGUGUAUUGGGCUACCCUGGCGGUAACGGGUAACGAAGAAUAAGGGUUUGAUUUUGGAGAGGGAGCCUGAGAGACGGCUUCCACAUCCAAGGAAGGCAGCAGGCGGGUAAAUUACCCAAUCGUGACACACGGAGGUAGUGGCAAUAAAUAUCAAUGCUGGAUCACAUUGUGGUUUGCAAUUGGAAAAAGGGCAAUUUAAAUCCCUUAACGAGGAUCAAUUGGGGGGC